rnacentral:rRNA from 1 species
AACUUUCAACAACGGAUCUCUUGGCUCUCGCAUCGAUGAAGAACGCAGCGAAAUGUGAUAAGUAAUGUGAAUUGCAGAAUUCAGUGAAUCAUCGAAUCUUUGAACGCACCUUGCGCUCUCUGGUAUUCCGGAGAGCAUGCCUGUUUGAGUGUC